GACAGAGGUGCCAAGCGUUAGGCGGAAUCACUGGGCUUAAAGCGUGUGUAGGCGGAUGCCUAAGUACCUUGUGAAAUCCCACGGCUCAACCGUGGAACUGCUUGGUAUACUGGGUGUCUUGAGCCAUCUAGGGGCUACCGGAACAAAUGGUGGAGCGGUGAAAUGCGUAGAUAUCGAGAGGAACACCAGUGGCGAAGGCGGCUCACUGGCCCGAUACUGACGCUGAGGCACGAAAGCGUGGGGAGCAAACAGG
rnacentral:rRNA from 1 species